CCCACCCUACGGGGGGCAGCAGUGGGGAAUAUUGGGCAAUGGGCGCAAGCCUGACCCAGCGACGCCGCGUGAGGGAAGACGGUCUUCGGAUUGUAAACCUCUUUCAGCAGGGAAGACAAAAGGACGGUACCUGCAGAAGAAGCCACGGCUAACUACGUGCCAGCAGCCGCGGUAAUACGUAGGUGGCAAGCGUUAUCCGGAAUUACUGGGUGUAAAGGGUGUGUAGGCGGGUUUGCAAGGCAGAUUUGAAAAUUAUGGGCUCAA
rnacentral:rRNA from 1 species